UGACAUGGGCCCAUGUUUCCAGAUCAAAAUUCAUGGGCUACUAUUAUAUUCUGGACAAUUAUCGAAGCUAUUGGUGUAAUUGGGCUUUAUUAUAAAGGCUCUAGCUACGAGCCCCAUCAAUGACCUCUGUCUCUGUGGUGAAUUCACCCGCAACAUGGCUAUGGCAUGCUCUCUCCCCCAGACCCUUCACUACAAGCCAUCAAAUGCGUUAAAAAUCAGGUCAUCUUCAAAAAUUGAUGAAACAAGACUAAAUAUCAAUCGAAUCCAAGCCAUGAAAAGUUGCUUGAGAUGCAAUACUCUUUAUCUUGACAAAGAUAACUCCCCAACUGCCUGAUCUUUCCAUGGCCACACCACGGGGGAGAAGGGGUUAUACGCUUUGGCUCCACCACACCAGGGUAUUGACGGAGAGUGGAGUGACCGCUCUGUAGUGAUAGUGUAUAAAUGGAAUGACAAGAAUAAUAGACCAAAUACUGGAAGUGUCAAUUGGAAGAAAAGAUGGAGUUGCUGUGCUGAGUAUGAUGAAAAUGCUCCACCUUGUAGACGGGGAUGUCAUGUUUCAUAUGACGAUGGCUUCACUCUGUAUUAACCCAAAAAUUGUGCUGUUAGCUAAAUUCAGAAAUCAAGGAUACAAUUUAGGAUGAGGUGGAAAUGCAAGCAUCGAUAAAGUUUGCUUGGGUAAUGUCUGAUGUUUAGACAAAUUAGGCUUGGACAUUAAAGUAUUUCCUGUGUUUUUCUAUUUAUCUACACCAUGAUUAACAGAUAUCAUUUUCUUGGAUAUUAAGCUCCCUGUCUUGUUUUUUCA